rnacentral:rRNA from 1 species
CCCGGUGAUUUCUUUAACGGCCGCAAUUAAUAGUUGUGCUAAGGUAGCGUAGUCAAUUGCCCUUUAAAUGGGGGAAGGUAUGAAUGGUUUGACGUAGGAAAUUCUGUCUCUUUUUUAGGGAGUGAAAUUUUUUUCCUGGUGAAAAGGCUAGGUUAGAUUAAUUAGACGAGAAGACCCUGUCGAGCUUAAUAAGGGGUGGAAAUCUUUUUUAUCAUUUAAAUUUGGUUGGGGCAACAAAGGAACAAAGGAAGAUUCCUUCUUUUAAAUGUGGAUCCAGAAUUUUUGAUUAAGAGAAAAAGCUACCGCAGGGAUAACAGCGUUAUCUUUUCUGAGAGAACAAAUUGAAGGAAAG